rnacentral:piRNA from 1 species
UGGCAUUUCUAACAGUUCAACCUCC